rnacentral:rRNA from 1 species
UGAGACAGGUUAGUUUUACCCUACUGAUGAAGGUCGCCGCAACUGUAAUUCAAUUUAGUACGAGAGGAACCGUUGAUUCAGAUAAUUGGUUUUUGCGGCUGUCCGACCGGGCAGUGCCGCGAAGCUACCAUCUGCUGGAUAAUGGCUGAACGCCUCUAAGUCAGAAUCCAUGCCAGAACGGGGUGAUUUCCGCCUGCACCAGUCGGAUACGAAUAGGCCUUUGGCCCAGAACCUUACCAGUCCGGCGUUGGCAGUCUCAUUGAAGUUGGGGCUGCUAGCCGGCGUAUUGCAAUUGUACAGUGCGCAGGAUUGAAUCCUUUGCAGACGACUUAGUUGUCUAGCCGGGUCGUGUAAGUAGUCGA